AAAACUUUCAACAACGGAUCUCUUGGUUCUGGCAUCGAUGAAGAACGCAGCAAAAUGCGAUAAGUAAUGUGAAUUGCAGAAUUCAGUGAAUCAUCGAAUCUUUGAACGCACAUUGCGCCCUCUGGUAUUCCGGGGGGCAUGCCUGUUCGAGCGUCAUUG
rnacentral:rRNA from 1 species